rnacentral:rRNA from 1 species
GGGCGUUGGAAAUUUGAGAAGAGCUGCUCCUAGUACGAGAGGACCGGAGUGGACGUACCUCUGGUGUUCCAGUUAUCAUGCCAAUGGUAUUGCUGGGUAGCUAUGUACGGACGGGAUAACCGCUGAAAGCAUCUAAGCGGGAAGCCUCCUUCAAGAUUAGAUUUCCCGACCCUUUAAGGGUCCUCAAGGUCCGUUGAAGACGACGACGUUGAUAGGCGGGAUGUGGAAGUGCAGUAAUGUAUGAAGCUAACCCGUACUAAUUGACCGUGAGGCUUGACCCU